rnacentral:lncRNA from 1 species
CAGCUGGUCACGCAACUUGAUUUCAAAUCUACCCUUUUAUGCCUCCUCGUCCUUUCGUAAUGCUUUACGAUGUUUCGUAUUUCUUUGUUUUUUAUUUUCUUUAGUGAAGGCAACGUUGGUGGGGACCGUUAUUAGUCGGGAGUUUAGAUUCUUUAGUUGGUAAACGAGGAUGCAAAGUACGCAAAGGAAUAUUUCAAAAAUCGUAGAUUUAUUUUUAAAUACUAGGAACCCAUGUGUUACCGUUGGAAGAACGCAAGGACCGGAAUAGAGAAUAAUCGUGGCAAUUGGGGCAGAGAGCACGCGGUCGCGCGCUUUUAUUCCGCAAUUAACGGUCGAGGAAAAGGGUAGAAAGAAGGGAAAAAAGAAGAAAAUGAAAAGGGAAAGAGAAAGAAGGAAAGACAAACUGGCAGCUAACUCUUGUGUCUUCUGACGACAAUGAAACGUAGAGCCUCUUAUUUACCUACCACAUUCGACGCAUUUCUUUCUCAUUCCAGCUUAAAAAAAGGAGAAAAUAAUGAAGAAGAAUAGCCACG